UACGUAGGGUGCAAGCGUUAAUCGGAAUUACUGGGCGUAAAGCGUGCGCAGGCGGCUUUGCAAGACAGAUGUGAAAUCCCCGGGCUUAACCUGGGAACUGCAUUUGAGACUGGAAGGCUAGAGUGCGGCAGAGGGGGGUGGAAUUCCGCGUGUAGCAGUGAAAUGCGUAGAUAUGCGGAGGAACACCGAUGGCGAAGGCAAUCCCCUGGGCCUGCACUGACGCUCAUGCACGAAAGCGUGGGGAGCAAACAGG
rnacentral:rRNA from 1 species